GACGAACGCUGGCGGCGUGCUUAACACAUGCAAGUCGAACGGAAAGGCCCUGCUUUUGUGGGGUGCUCGAGUGGCGAACGGGUGAGUAACACGUGAGUAACCUGCCCUUGACUUUGGGAUAACUUCAGGAAACUGGGGCUAAUACCGGAUAGGAGCUCCUGCUGCAUGGUGGGGGUUGGAAAGUUUCGGCGGUUGGGGAUGGACUCGCGGCUUAUCAGCUUGUUGGUGGGGUAGUGGCUUACCAAGGCUUUGACGGGUAGCCGGCCUGAGAGGGUGACCGGCCACAUUGGGACUGAGAUACGGCCCAGACUCCUACGGGAGGCAGCAGUGGGGAAUAUUGCACAAUGGGCGGAAGCCUGAUGCAGCAACGCCGCGUGCGGGAUGGCGGCCUUCGGGUUGUAAACCGCUUUCGCCUGUGACGAAGCGUGAGUGACGGUAAUGGGUAAAGAAGCACCGGCUAACUACGCG
rnacentral:rRNA from 1 species